GUUGGGAAUGUUAUAAUGUACAUACACGAUGAUGAUUAAAUCUUCUACACCAAGUUCUCUUCCAGGUAGAGUGGACGUUACCGCACCGAUUUGUCGCAGACGACGAAUACCAAAGGGCCGCUUCGCUCCUCGACCUGCUGCAUUGGGAAGGACAUACGAUAUCGUGAAACGUUUCAAGGCGUGUUUACACCUAGGUAUAAGUGUCACGAGCAAUAAACGGCAGUAAGAUUCGGUUCGUUGAAGAUUUUGUUCUUCAAAUAAAAUGUAUAAUUUAGGGAUUUCUACGUAUGCAAAUAUCAUUAAAUAGAAGAACCGUUGUUCUCACCAAUUCGCACCGCUGUUCAUACCCCAAGAGACUACAUCCCCUACGAUCGUAUUGCUAUCCUCCAACGUUCUCGAUGACGACAUUAUUCGGUUCGGAUAUACCGGUAUGCUCGUUCUAAAUGAACCGUGGAUAAGAUUUGAAAUGGACGAGAUUCACUUAUAUGAUACGUAUGCCACGAUCAUGGAUGAAAAUCAAUAAUAAGGUUUAACUUAUUCCCAUCGUACUCGGGUUGU